rnacentral:rRNA from 1 species
AGAGUUUGAUCCUGGCUCAGGAUGAACGCUAGCUACAGGCUUAACACAUGCAAGUCGAGGGGCAGCAUGGUCUUAGCUUGCUAAGACUGAUGGCGACCGGCGCACGGGUGAGUAACACGUAUCCAACCUGCCGUCUACUCUUGGACAGCCUUCUGAAAGGAAGAUUAAUACAAGAUGGCAUCAUGAGUCCGCAUGUUCACAUGAUUAAAGGUAUUCCGGUAGACGAUGGGGAUGCGUUCCAUUAGAUAGUAGGCGGGGUAACGGCCCACCUAGUCUUCGAUGGAUAGGGGUUCUGAGAGGAAGGUCCCCCACAUUGGAACUGAGACACGGUCCAAACUCCUACGGGAGGCAGCAGUGAGGAAUAUUGGUCAAUGGGCGAGAGCCUGAACCAGCCAAGUAGCGUGAAGGAUGACUGCCCUAUGGGUUGUAAACUUCUUUUAUAAAGGAAUAAAGUCGGGUAUGGAUACCCGUUUGCAUGUACUUUAUGAAUAAGGAUCGGCUAACUCCGUGCCAGCAGCCGCGGUAAUACGGAGGAUCCGAGCGUUAUCCGGAUUUAUUGGGUUUAAAGGGAGCGUAGAUGGAUGUUUAAGUCAGUUGUGAAAGUUUGCGGCUCAACCGUAAAAUUGCAGUUGAUACUGGCGACCUUGAGUGCAACAGAGGUAGGCGGAAUUCGUGGUGUAGCGGUGAAAUGCUUAGAUAUCACGAAGAACUCCGAUUGCGAAGGCAGCUCACUAGACUGCAACUGACACUGAUGCUCGAAAGUGUGGGUAUCAAACAGGAUUAGAUACCCUGGUAGUCCACACAGUAAACGAUGAAUACUCGCUGUUUGCGAUAUACAGUAAGCGGCCAAGCGAAAGCAUUAAGUAUUCCACCUGGGGAGUACGCCGGCAACGGUGAAACUCAAAGGAAUUGACGGGGGCCCGCACAAGCGGAGGAACAUGUGGUUUAAUUCGAUGAUACGCGAGGAACCUUACCCGGGCUUAAAUUGCAUUUGAAUAAUCUGGAAACAGGUUAGCCGCAAGGCAAAUGUGAAGGUGCUGCAUGGUUGUCGUCAGCUCGUGCCGUGAGGUGUCGGCUUAAGUGCCAUAACGAGCGCAACCCUUAUCUUUAGUUACUAACAGGUCAUGCUGAGGACUCUAGAGAGACUGCCGUCGUAAGAUGUGAGGAAGGUGGGGAUGACGUCAAAUCAGCACGGCCCUUACGUCCGGGGCUACACACGUGUUACAAUGGGGGGUACAGAAGGCAGCUACCUGGUGACAGGAUGCUAAUCCCAAAAACCUCUCUCAGUUCGGAUCGAAGUCUGCAACCCGACUUCGUGAAGCUGGAUUCGCUAGUAAUCGCGCAUCAGCCAUGGCGCGGUGAAUACGUUCCCGGGCCUUGCACUCACCGCCCGUCAAG